AUUGAACGCUGGCGGCAGGCCUAACACAUGCAAGUCGAGCGGUAGCACAGAGAGCUUGCUCUCGGGUGACGAGCGGCGGACGGGUGAGUAAUGUCUGGGAAACUGCCUGAUGGAGGGGGAUAACUACUGGAAACGGUAGCUAAUACCGCAUAACGUCGCAAGACCAAAGAGGGGGACCUUCGGGCCUCUUGCCAUCAGAUGUGCCCAGAUGGGAUUAGCUAGUAGGUGGGGUAACGGCUCACCUAGGCGACGAUCCCUAGCUGGUCUGAGAGGAUGACCAGCCACACCGCAACUGAGACACGGUCCAGACUACUAGGGGAGGCAGCAGUGGGGUAUACUGCACAAUGGGCGCAAGCCUGAUGCAGCCAUGCCGCGUGUAUGAAGAAGGCCUUCGGGUUGUAAAGUACUUUCAGCGGGGAGGAAGGCGAUAAGGUUAAUAACCUUGUCGAUUGACGUUACCCGCAGAAGAAGCACCGGCUAACUCCGUGCCAGCCGCCGCAGUAA
rnacentral:rRNA from 1 species